AUUGAACGCUGGCGGCAGGCUUAACACAUGCAAGUCGAGCGGAGCGAGGGUGCUUGCACCUUAGCUUAGCGGCGGACGGGUGAGUAAUGCUUAGGAACCUGCCUAUUAGUGGGGGACAACAUUCCGAAAGGAAUGCUAAUACCGCAUACGCCCUACGGGGGAAAGCAGGGGAUCUUCGGACCUUGCGCUACUAGAUGAGCCUAAGUCGGAUUAGCUAGUUGGUGGGGUAAAGGCCUACCAAGGCGACGAUCUGUAGCGGGUCUGAGAGGAUGAUCCGCCACACUGGGACUGAGACACGGCCCAGACUCCUACGGGAGGCAGCAGUGGGGAAUAUUGGACAAUGGGCGGAAGCCUGAUCCAGCCAUGCCGCGUGUGUGAAGAAGGCCUUUUGGUUGUAAAGCACUUUAAGCGAGGAGGAGGCUACUCUGAUUAAUACUCAGGGAUAGUGGACGUUACUCGCAGAAUAAGCACCGGCUAACUCUGUGCCAGCAGCCGCCGUAAGAC
rnacentral:rRNA from 1 species